AAUUGAUUUACAGCAUUGUGAUCGUUUCUGCUGUUCAACAAAGUGAUUCAGUUAUACAUGUACACACUUCCAUUCACAUGGGCUUACUUUGUUCUCAUCCCAUAGCUCACUUCCCAUCAUCAGGGUCUGUGUUGCACCAGAUCCCAUCAGCAACACCAGAUUAUGGUGAAAAUAAGCGCAUAGACUCAACAUUUAUUUAGAAAUUUACCCACAGAGGGAAAUGAGGAGGAUUGACUGCCAGAUGGAAGCCAAGGACCAUUAUACUUCAGUUCUCUUUUUAUACAGAAGGAGUGAUAAUGUUGAAAAGGUAAGAUGUCUGGUUUUGAACUAUCUUCCACUUCAGAGGAAUCCUGGGCCUUAGAAAGCUGAAGAAGAAACACUUUGGAGUCCAGUUAAAGAAAAGGAGGAUCAGGAUGCUUUGACAUACAGG
rnacentral:lncRNA from 1 species